rnacentral:misc_RNA from 1 species
AAGACUAUAGACCUGCGGAGUACCUGCGGAAGGAUCAUUACCGAGUUUACAGCUCCCAAACCCAAUGUGAACGUUACCAAACUGUUGCCUCGGCGGGAUCUCUGCCCCGGGUGCGUCGCAGCCCCGGACCAAGGCGCCCGCCGGAGGACCAACCAAAACUCUUUUGUAUACCCCCUCGCGGGUUUUUAUAUCUGAGCCAUCUCGGCGCCUCUCGUAGGCGUUUCGAAAAUGAAUCAAAAC